AGCAGCUUGGCGCAGUGGAAGCGCGGUAUGUUUAUCUCAAAGUUCGAGAUCUCAUCAGGCACUAACCCCUCUCAGCCGGGCUCAUAACCCGGAGGUCACUGGAUCGAAACCAGUAGCUGCUA